GGCGUAGAGGGCUCGCAGGCGGUUUCUUAAGUCUGAUGUGAAAGCCCCCGGCUCAACCGGGGAGGGUCAUUGGAAACUGGGGAACUUGAGUGCAGAAGAGGAGAGUGGAAUUCCACGUGUAGCGGUGAAAUGCGUAGAGAUGUGGAGGAACACCAGUGGCGAAGGCGACUCUCUGGUCUGUAACUGACGCUGAGGAGCGAAAGCGUGGGGAGCGAACAGGAUUAGAUACCCUGGUAGUCCACGCCGUAAACGAUGAGUGCUAAGUGUUAGGGGGUUUCCGCCCCUUAGUGCUGCAGCUAACGCAUUAAGCACUCCGCCUGGGGAGUACGGUCGCAAGACUGAAACUCAAAGGAAUUGACGGGGGCCCGCACAAGCGGUGGAGCAUGUGGUUUAAUUCGAAGCAACGCGAAGAACCUUACCAGGUCUUGACAUCGUCUGACACUCCUAGAGAUAGGACGUCCCCUUCGGGGGCAGAGUGACAGGUGGUGCAUGGUUGUCGUCAGCUCGUGUCGUGAGAUGUUGGGUUAAGUCCCGCAACGAGCGCAACCCUUGAUCUUAGUUGCCAGCAUUCAGUUGGGCACUCUAAGGUGACUGCCGGUGACAAACCGGAGGAAGGUGGGGAUGACGUCAAAUCAUCAUGCCCCUUAUGACCUGGGCUACACACGUGCUACAAUGGACAGAACA
rnacentral:rRNA from 1 species